UGGGGAAUUUUGGACAAUGGGGGCAACCCUGAUCCAGCAAUGCCGCGUGUGUGAAGAAGGCCUUCGGGUUGUAAAGCACUUUUGUCCGGAAAGAAAACGCCGUGGUUAAUACCCGUGGCGGAUGACGGUACCGGAAGAAUAAGCACCGGCUAACUACGUGCCAGCAGCCGCGGUAAUACGUAGGGUGCAAGCGUUAAUCGGAAUUACUGGGCGUAAAGCGUGCGCAGGCGGUCCGCUAAGACAGAUGUGAAAUCCCCGGGCUUAACCUGGGAACUGCAUUUGUGACUGGCGGGCUAGAGUAUGGCAGAGGGGGGUAGAAUUCCACGUGUAGCAGUGAAAUGCGUAGAGAUGUGGAGGAAUACCGAUGGCGAAGGCAGCCCCCUGGGCCAAUACUGACGCUCAUGCACGAAAGCGUGGGGGAGCAAACAGGAUUAGAUACCCUGGUAGUCCACGCCCUAAACGAUGUCAACUAGUUGUCGGGUCUUCAUUGGCUUGGUAACGUAGCUAACGCGUGAAGUUGACCGCCUGGGGAGUACGGUCGCAAGAUUAAAAACUCAAAUGAAUUGACGGGGUCAUAGCUG
rnacentral:rRNA from 1 species